rnacentral:lncRNA from 1 species
UCUCGAAUCGGUCUCCAAAUGCUCCAAUUCUAACCAAAAUAAGUAUAUUAUCAUCAACAUAUGCUAAAGGAAAAAAACCCAAGCGAAAAUUAUCAAAUUACAUUAACAAUCCCGAAAUUGGCCAAACCCGACCCCCGGGCCCACGUCACGAAAUCCGAUGAAAAUCACAAAAUCCGACAACCCAUUCAACUACGAGUCCAACCAUACCAAAAUUACUAAAUGUCGAUAACAAUUCGGCCUACAAAUCUUCAAAUCUUAUUUUCAAAUCCCUAGGUCCAAAUCCCCAAUUUACACCUCAAAAACAUUUAAUCUAGUCGGACUAUUCGAUGAUAAUUUAAUAUUAUGGAGUAGAAAUAGUCACAAGUGACUUACCUCAAGAUUUCCCAUGACUUCUCGCUCAAAUAUCGCCCCAAGCCGCGUUCUUUUCGUCCAAAAAUGUGGAAUGAGCUAAACAAAACAAGACAGCUCAAUAAAACACAAUUCAGGUUGCUAAAAGCCCCAUUCCUCUCGCUAAAAGUACCAAAUCUAGUCGCUAAAGGUGCGUACCAGAUCCUGUUGUACCAACAAUAUUUAUUUUCACCGAAAAGGCUCUAACUCCACCAUACGAACUCGGAAUUCGAUGAUUCUUGUUCCUAUGAGUCACAAAUAAUAAUUCGAACAUUGCCCUUCAAUCUAAACUCAAUUCUAAGCUUAUUUGCUCAGUGUGAUACCCAUUUCGCUCGUUAAACAAUUAACUCAUGUUUCGCUUCAAAAACCCAAUCGCGACUUGAUAAAAUUAGACCAAACUUUCCAGAUCACUCCUAUAAUUCAUUAUCACAAUUAUGGAAGUUUUGAAAUCAAAUUUCGAUCUCUAUAACUAAAAAUGGACCUUUGGAUCAUUACAUGCUUAUGCUUAAAACGGCAAAAAUCUUCCAAAAACUCUUCCGAAACUUAUCCGAGCCUCAUGGGACCCCGACCAAACAUGCCAACACACCCCAUAACACCACUCAAACUUUUUCCAACCUUCAGAAUGCUCAAACCAAUAUCAAAACUUUAAAUCACCCUCGGAUUCAAGCCUAAGAAUUCCAAAACUUCCGAAUUUCGAAUUCAAUCAAAAAGUCUAUCAACCCUCGUCCGAAUGACCUGAAAUUGUGCACACACCUCAAAAAUAACACAACAGACCUACUCCAACUUUCGGAAUUCCAUUCCGACCCUAUAUCAAAAUCUCACCUAUCAACCGGAAAAUGCCAAAAUUCCAAUUUCGCCAAUUCAAGCCUGAAUCAACUCCGGACCUCCAAAACCUAUUUCGGACGUGCUCCCAAGUCCAAAAUCGCCUAACGGAGCUAAUCAAAUCAUACAAAUCAAAAUCCGAGAUCGAAUAAUAAAAAGUCAAAACUUGGUCAAACCUUUCAAAUUUUAAGCUUCAAACUGAGAAAUGUUCUUCCAUAUCCAUUCCGAUUAUCCUGAAAACCAAAACUGACGAUUUAUAUAGGUCAUAAUACAUCAUACAUGGCUAGUCAUUCCUGAGAACUGGCGAGCAAAGUGAAAAUUCUCAAAACGACCGAUCGGGUCGUUACACUUUGACUUGGUUGAUAGUAGCAUAUUUAGGCUUUGUCAUGUGCAGUAUCUUCUCUAUGUGUUGAAAUUGUUCGUAAUACCUUGAUAAAUUGGAUAGCAUAUUUUGUGACACCUAUGUCUCAUUUUCUUGACUUGCGUUUACUUUGUGCUAAAUUUUUAACAUCUCGUGGCUCCGUGAAUUUGGAAUGGGACCGUCCUUAAUAUGUUAUGUGCCAUGUGUGGUGACAUUUUUGUGUAGCCAUGUAUUGUAAUUAAUACUAGAACUUGUCCAUCAUGUGAAUUGAAGCAAAAUUUUAGGUGAUGCUCGGUUUGAAAAAUAUUUUAGGCUUUAUUUGAUCUUUUUAAGCUUAUUGUUUGUCAUAAAUAAAAUUAUCCGUACUUAACCCUUUUGAGCCUAUAGACUUUUAUUUGGAACCCACAUUUCAAGUCCAUUCCCUAUUGUUCUUAACUGACAAUGCGUUAAACCUUUUACCUCUUAAGGCACUUAGCAUGUAAAAUGAGCACUAGAAGAAGUAAGGACGGAACUUGGGUGGCUUUUGAGCGGAACCAAUGAAAGAGAAAAAAAGGUGCACAUGUGUUGUAAAAGAUACACCACUAGCGUAAAUUAUAGGAAAAAAAUUAUUGUUGAAAAAAACGAAAAGAAAAAAGAGUGAAAGUGGCAUGUUGUCCUUGCUAGCGGGUAUAAAUUAAAGUAGCGCUUGAAGAAAGAUGGAACGUUGGGCUGGUGCGAUUUUGUUUGUGGAAUUGAAGUUGGGUUGAAGAAUACGCUCUUAAAGUUAAUUGUGUGAUGUGUUAAAGUUCCUAGGAAGGUCACUAUUCCUAAAUAUAUCCUACACAUCCCUUAGCCUACGUUACAACCAUGAUAAUGUCCUGUGCAAUUUUAAAUCCAGCAAGCCUACAUUAGUAGAAGUUUACAUAAUGGGCAAGCCUAUGGUACAAUUUCUAUGCAUUUGACUUCUUUGUGAGAGGGAGAUUUCUUUGAUAUAUGUCAGUUUUUAACUUAUAUUUGAGCAUGAGAUUCGAAUGUGUGGAUUCUACUUACUCUCCUUGAUUUUGUGUAAGGGCACAUGGUUUCGCUAUGGAUUAGUUACAUUAUUAGAUUUUUGUAUGAUGUUGAGGGUUCAAGCCAUGAGUGCAUUGUGAUAUUGAGUAGGUUUUGAGGCUUAGAUAGUUAUGUGCAUGUUGUCUUUGUUUUGAAUAAUUGUGAAGUAUGGCAUUAGUAAAUGGGAGAGUAUUUUGAAUGCAUAUGCUAGAAUUUAAUUAUUUCUACCAACCAAAGUCAUUGGUUUAGUGUGCUUCGAACAUGUUAAGUAUAAAGUGCUCCAAGAUAGUGUAAAUUGUUAGCUGGCUUAAGGACGAGCAAUGCUUAAGUGUGGCAGAGAUGUUUAUCUAUAAAUAUAUAUAUUUGUAGAGCAUUGCUUACCUUAUAUUUAGAGUGUUUUAAUGAUUAAUUGUGCGACAUUUGAGCUUAAUUAAGUUAUUUUUAUGUGUAAGACUAUUGGAAUGUAUAAAGAAAUGAAAGUUUCACAAAAAGAUAUUGAAGACAUAAAAAAGGCACAAAAAGGAGAAAUUCGGAGGAAGGUGAAGGCACCUGGCCCUGCUUGGCUUAAGGCAAGCUCAACCUGGCCUUACAGCAGGCCUCGCCUAGCUUGUGGCGUACUACAGACCAUGCCUCACCUGGCUUAAGGCCUGAUCCCCCAAUCCGCAAAUAAAUUAUUUUCUGCUCAGUAUUGGACUUGGAGACUUCGACCCUAGCCUAUAAAUAUUCCCUAAACAUGUCUAUAAAAAGGGUGUUGGACGUUUUUGAGAGGGUAAUUCGACCAAGGGAAAGCACGAGCCACUGUGGAGGCUGGAAUUCACCAAAUUUUAUCUUUCUUCAGCCAAACUAAAUAAUUUUUAUGUUUCUUUGGAUGAUAUACUGUUUGGCUACCAUGCCGAUGUGGAGCUAAACUUUACUGUGAUGACCCAGCCGGUGGUAUUAAGAAUUAACGCCCUGAUCCCCUAUUAACUGCUUUUACCAAGUUUAUUUCUGCUAAUGUGAGUUGCCGGGAUGUUUGGUUUUGAAUUUCAGUGAGUUUCGGGACACUUAGUACCUAAAUGAGAGCUUAAGGGUUGGAAAGUUGACCGUAGUCGGAACAGUGUGAAGACGACCUCGAAAUGGAAAUCUGAUGGUUCUGUUUAGCUCCGUUGGGUGAUUUCGAGGUUAGGAGCAUGUCGGAAUUGUGUUUUGGAGGUCCAUAACUAAUUUAGGCUUGAAAUGCCGAAGGUAGAAAUUUUGAAGUUUCAGGUUCGAUAGCGAGAUUUUGAUCGAAGGGUCAGAAUGGAAUUCCAAGAGUUGCAGUUGUUUCGUUAUGUCAUUUGGGAUAUGUGUGAAACAUUUCAGGUCAUUCGGAUGUGUUUUGGUUGGGUUUUUGAUCGAAAACAUAAUUCAGAAGAUUUUUGAAACUUAGGCUUGAAUCCAAUGUGUUUUUGUUGUUUUGAUGGUGUUUGAAGUGUUUUGAAGAUCUGAACAAGUUUGAAUAAGGUUUUAGGUUAUGUUGAUGCCCUUGGUUGAGGUUCCGGGGGCCUCAGGAUGAAUUCGGAUCGUUAACGAAGAAAGUUUUGGAGUUGAAGUCGUGCAGCAGCUGGCCUUCUGGCAUUUUCACAUAUGCGGUUUAGGGACCGCAGAUGCGGAGCCACAGAAGCGAAAUUUGGCCAUAUCUCAAGGAACCACAGAUGCGGUAUAUUUUCUGCAGAAGCGGUAUCGCACCUACGGGUAAAGGGCUGCAGAUGCAGAAUUUGGCCUUAUGUGGGAAGUCGCAGAUGCGACAUUUGUUCUGCAGAAGCAGGACCGUACAUGUGGUCCUAGAACCGCAGAUGCGGAAACUGCUGAGCAUUAUUUUAAAAAGGGGUUCCGCGACUUGGGAGUUUAUUUCCACCAUUCCUAAUCGUUUUUGAACCUUUUGAGAGCGAUUUUUGAGGAAAAAAGGAGAAUCGCUUGGAGGUAACAUCCUUGACUUCAUAACUUGUUUUUAUGUGAUUAAAAGACCUAAUUAGUGGUGAAAAAUUUGGGGAAAAUGGGUAAUUAGGGCUUGAGUUAAAGAGAUCUUUAAAAGAGGAUUUGAGGGGUUAUUUGGACUCCGAUUUCAGGUGUUCUUGUUAUGUAUAAACUCGUGAGAGUACGAGGUUUCUUGAAAUGUAAAUUUCACACGAUUUUGAGACGUGGGCCUGAGGGGCGUUUUGGUCAUUUUACAUAAUUUCGCGUAUUAGCUUAGACUUUAAUUGUAGAAUCAGUUAUUUGAGCUGUUAAUUACAAUAUGCAAUUGAAUUGAAUAGAUUUAGGUCAUUUGGAGUCGGAUACUCGUGCCAAAAGUGUGGUUUCGAAUUGAUUUUGAGCUGGUUCAAUGUAAGUGGCUUGUCUAACCUUGUGUGGGGGAACUUCCCUUUAGGAUAUGAUAUUUGAUAGUUGAAAUGCCAUGUACAUGAUGUGACGAGCGCGUACUUGAGCUAAUUGUUAAAAAUCCGAUUUUACUUUAAGUAUUUAAACUGAGUUCCUUUCUUACCUGUCUUUAUUCUACUUGCAAACUUAGCCUGUGUUAGUUUAGAAAAGCAUGCUUAGUUGACUUAAUUGCCUAUUUGCUUAAACUGCCUUAAUUGUGUUACGUGAAGCAUGUUAGGCUAGAAUUAACUAUUUGCUUGUUACUAACUUAAUAUUUAUUUUGAUAUUCUUGAGCUGAUGCUGUGUGUUUUAAUUUGGGACUACAGGACGGCAUCCCGGAAAACCCCUGCACGUAUUUAUGAUCUGGACUGAGGUGCGGGAUACCAAAAGAUCCCUAAUGUACAUAUUAAGGAUACCAAGAGAUCCUUGGGAUACCAAGAGAUCCCUGACAUAUAUAUUGGGGAUACCAAGAGAUCCUCGGGAUACCAAGAGAUCCGUAGUGGAUUUAUUGAGGAUACCAAGAGAUCCUUGGGAUACCAAGAGAUACCUAGUUAUUAUCUUUGCUGUGAAUGGUGUUUUCCUUGUGUUAUGCCUUUAUUUCUGUUUCCGUUAUUGUACUCUUAUCAUACUGUAUAGAUUCUUAUUGUAGAUUCUCAUUUAUCAUGUCUAUCUUAUCCUGUCAUGUUUAUUAUUAUUUACCUCAGUAGGGCCCUGACCUUCCUCGUCACUACCCGACCGAGGUUAGGUUUGGCACUUAAUGAGUACCGAUGUGGUGUACUCAUGCCCCUUUCUGCGCAUAUUUUUCAUGUGCGGAUCCAGGUACCUCCAUCCAGGCUUAUCAGCCUUGAGGCAGAGAGAUCUUUCGAAGACUUUGAGGUACAUUUGUCGCGUCCGCAGACCAAAGAGUCUCUAUCUUUAUUCUAUCCUGUAGUGUUAGCCUUUCUAUCUUACUGUUGAUGUAGACAUUCUGGAGAUUAGAGCACUUUACUAUAUUUCUUCUAGCUUGUGUUCCCGUGAGUUUUCGGGUUUUGGGAUAGUGUUGUAGAAGUUUGAGAUGUCAUGAUGUAUAUGCCGAGCGGCUUUCUAUAUAUUGCUUCCCUCUUUGGAUAUUCCUGGUUUUCCUUUAUUUAUAUUUACGCAAGUUUCAAUUUUAUUUUCGCACUUGUUAGGCUUACCUAGUCAUAGAGACUAGGUGUCGUCAUUACAUUUAACGGAGGGCGAACUGGGGUCGUGACAAGUUGGUAUAAGAGCUCUAGGUUCAUAAAAGUCACGGAACACAAGCUAGUUUCUUAGAGUCUCGUUGAUCGGUACGGAGACAUCUGUACUUAUCUACGAUAGGCUAUGUAACUGCUAGGAAAACUUCCACUUCAUUUAAUUCCUUGUCGUGCGAUAUUUUGACAUCACAAUUCUAAACUUAUGUCUUCUAUUCUCUCACAGAUGGUGAGGACACGUGCUACUCGAGAUGAUCAGGCACCCGUGCCCCUACUAUAGCCGUUAGAGGUCGGGGCCAGGGUAGAGGCCGAGGGUGCGCCCGUGGUGUAGCCAGAGCACCUACGCGAGCUGCUACCGAGGUACCACCAGCAGAUCCAGCCGGAGUCCAGGUGCUUGAUACGCCUACUAGUACUACUACUCCAGCCCUUGAGGAGACUCUGACACAGUUCAUGAGUAUGUACACCACUUUGGCUCAGGCAGGGUUGCUUCCCCUUGCUGCAGCUACAUCCCAGGCCAGAGGAGGAGCACAGACUCCCGCCGCCCACACUCCUGAGCAGCGAGUGCAUGUUGAGUAGGCCCCUGAGAUUAUUCUUGUACCGCCUGUAGUGCCAGUUCAGCCCAAAGGCAUGGCAGCAGCUUCCGAGCAGGAGCAGCUGAGGCUUGAGAGGUUCAAGACCCCCUGAGUUCAGUGGUCUAGCAUCGGAGGAUGCUCUGGGAUUUCUUGAUGAGUCUUACCGCAUUCUCCGUACUAUGGGUAUCUCAGGAUCGAGCGGGGUUUCUUUCACUACUUUCCAACUUCGAGGAGCCGCCUAUGAUCGGUGGCGCUCCUAUGAGUUAGACAGUCCAAAUGAGGUUGCUUUAUUGACUUGGGCUUAGUUUUUGGAUCUGUUCCUGAGAGAGUAUGUUCCUCAGAGCCUCAGGGAUGCAUGGCACGUAGAGUUUGAGCAUUGGCGCCAGGGUGCUAUAAUGGUUUCAGAGUAUGUUGUCAGUUACACCAAUUUGUCUAGGCAUGCACCAGCCUUGGUUGCUACUGUUCGCGAGAGGGUUCGCCAAUUUAUUGAGGGGUUUAUUCCCAGCAUCAGGUCUAGCAUGGCUCGUGAGUUAUAGAUGGAUAUUUCUUAUCAGCAGGUGGUGAGCAUUGCUAUGAGGAUUGAGGGUAUACAUGCUAGGGGGAAGGAGGAGAGGGAGGACAAGAGGUCUCGAGAGUCGGGCCAUUUCUCAGGUGCCCGUGCCCCAGCUGCAGGUCGUCAUGGAAGGGGUUAUAUGAGUUGCCCCGUUCAUUCAGCUCUUCCAGCAGCCAGCAGUGCUCCAACUCCUCCUAGGCCUCAGGAGCCUUAUUAUGCACCUCCGGUUUCUAGCGUGCCUCCUGUGUGGGGUGCUUUCAGAGGUUAGUCUAGCAGACCUGGCCUGAGCUAGUUGUAGCCACCACAUCCUCCCAGAUCUUGUUUUGAGUGUGGUGACACCCGCCAUGUGGAGAGGGAUUACCCUAGACUUGGGAGGAGUGCAUCCCCACAAACUUCUCAUCCACAACGUGGCCCACAGAUUUCUCAGGCUAUUGUUAUAGCUCCAGUUGCUACCCCACCUGAUCAGCUAGCUAGAGGUGGAUGUCGGGGAGGUAGAGGUCGCCUCGAGGGGGAGGCCAAGACAUAUAAUAUGCCCUUCCUGCCCGUACCAAGGCUGUUGUCUCCGAUUCUAUCAUCACAUGUAUUAUACUGGUUUGUCACAGAGAUGCAUCGGUUCUAUUCGAUCCAGGCUCCACUUACUCUUAUGUGUCUUCUUAUUUUGCUCCGUAUUUGGGUGUAUCCCGAGAUCCCUUGAGUUCUCAUAUUUGUGUUUCUACUCCUGUGGGAGAUUCUCUUGUUGUGGACCGCGUUUAUCGGUCGUGUUAGGUUGCUCUUAGUGGUUUUGAGACCAGAGCUGAUCUAUUGUUACUCAGCACGGUUGAUUUUGACAUUAUCUUGGACAUGGACUGGUUGUCGCCCCAUUAUGUUAUUCUUGAUUGUCACGCCAAAACUGUGACGCUGGCUAUGCCAGGUCUACUGCGUGUUGAGUGGAGAGGUACCUUAGAUCCCACUUCUAGUAGUGUUAUUUCAUUCCUUAAGGCUCAGCGUAUGGUUGAGAAGGGGUGUGACGCGUAUCUAGCUUAUGUGAGAGAUGUCAGUAUCGAUACCCCUUCGGUUAAUUCAGUCCCCGUAGUAAGGGAUUUUCCCGAUGUGUUUCUGGCUAAUCUUCUAGGCAUGCCGCAUGAUAGAGAUAUUGAUUUUGGCAUUGAUCUAUUGCCGGGAACUCAGCCUAUUUCUAUCCCUCUGUAUCGUAUGGCUCCUCCUGAGUUGAAGGAGUUAAAAGAUCAGUUAUAGGAACUACUUGAUAAGGGUUUUAUUCGGCCCAGUGUUUUACCUUAGGGUGCUCCUAUCUUGUUUGUGAAGAAAAAGGAUUGUUCUAUGCGUAUGUGUAUUGAUUAUCGCCAGUUGAACAAGGUUACAGUGAAGAACCGUUAUCCUUUGCCGCAUAUUGAUGAUCUGUUUGACCAGCUUCAGGUCGCACAGGUGUUUUCUAUGAUUGAUUUGUGCUCAGGUUACCAUCAGUUGAAGAUUCGGGAGCCAGACAACCCGAAGACUGCUUUCAGGACUCGGUAUGGUCAUUACGAGUUCCUUGUUAUGUCAUUUGGGCUGACCAAUGCCCCAACAGCCUUUAUGCAUUUGAUGCACAGUGUGUUCUGGUCGUAUCUUGACUCGUUCAUCAUUGUCUUUAUUGAUGACAUUUUGGUAUAUUCCCAGAGUCGGGAAGAUCAUGAGCAGCACCUGAGGACUGUGCUUCAGAAUCUGAAAGAGAAGAAGUUAUAUGCUAAGUUCUCGAAAUGUGAGUUUUGGUUGGAUUCAGUGGCGUUCUUAGGUCACGUGGUAUCGAGUGAGGGUAUUCAGGUAGAUCUGAAGAAGAUAGAGGCCAUGCAGAGUUGGCCCAGACCAUCCUCAGCUAUAGAGAUCCGCAGGUUCCUUGGCUUGUCAUGCUAUUAGUGUCUCUUUCUGGAGGGGUUUUCAUCGAUCGUAUCCCCUAUGACUAGAUUGACCCAAAAGGGUGCUUCAUUUCAAUGAACGGAGGAGUGUGAGGCAAGCUUUUAGAAGCUCAAGACAGCAUUGACUACAACCCUAGUUUUGGUAUUACCUUGGGGUUCAAGAUCUUAUACGGUCUAUAGUGAUGUCUUGAGGAUUGGCCUCGGAGCUGUGUUGAUGCAGGGCGGUAGGGUGAUUGCCUACGUGUCCAAACAGUUGAAGAUUCAUGAGACGAACUACCCUAUUGACGACCUUGAGUUAGCUGCCAUUGUUCACACCCUGAAGAUUUGGUACCAUUAUUUAUAUGGGAUCCCUGUGAGAUUUAUACUGACCAUCGUAGCUUGCAGCAUUUGUUCAAGAAAAGGGAUCUAAAUUUGCACCAAAGGAGGUGGUUGGAGUUGCUGAAGGACUACGACAUCACCAUUUUGUAUCACCCAGGCAAGGCUAAUGUAGUGGCUGAUGCCUUGAGUCACCGGGCAGAGAGUUUGGGGAGUUUGGCAUAUUUACCAACAUCGGAGAGGCCUAUGGAGAUGGAUGUUCAAGCCUUAGCCAGCCAGUUUGUGAGAUUGGUUCUUUCGGAGCCCAGUCGGGUUCUAGCUUACGUGGUUUCUCGGUCUUCCUUAGUUGACCGUGUUAGGGAGCGGCAGUAUGAUGACCCCUAUUUGCUUGUCCUCAAGGACAAGGUUCAACACGGUGAUGCCAAAGACAUGACUAUUGGUGAUGAUGGGUUAUUGAGGAUGCAGGGUCAGAUUUGUGUACCCAAUGUUGAUGGGCUGCGAGAGUUGAUUCUAGAAGAGGCCCAUAGUUCGCGGUAUUCCAUCCAUCCGGGUGCAACGAAGAUGUAUCAAGAUUUGAGGCAGCACUAUCGGUAGAGGAGGAUGAAGAAAGAUAUAGUUGGAUUUAUAGCUCGGUGUCUCAACUGCCAACAGGUGAAGUAUGAGCACCAAAGACCAGGUAGGUUGCUUCAACAGAUAGAGAUUUCGGAGUGGAAGUGGGAGCGGAUCAACAUGGACUUUGUAGUUGGACUCCCACGGACUUUGAAGAAGUUUGAUGCUAUUUGGGUGAUUGUGGAUCGACUGACCAAGUCUGCUCAUUUCAUUCCUGUGUGUACUACUUAUUCUUCGGAGCAGUUGGGGGAGAUUUAUAUCCGAGAGAUUGUUCGUCUACAUGGUAUUCCAGUUUCCAUUAUUUCAGAUAGAGGUACUCAGUUUACAUCACGGUUUUCGAGGACCGUUCAGCGUGAGUUAGGUACUCGGGUAGAGUUGAGUACAAUAUUUCACCCUCAGACGAAUGGAUAGUCCGAGCGCACUAUUCAGAUUCAUGAGGAUAUGCUCCGUGCGUGUGUGAUUGAGUUUGGAGGGUCUUGGGAUCAGUUCUUGCCAUUGGCGGAGUUUGCUUACAACAAUAGUUAUCAGUCCAACAUUUAGAUGGCGCCGUAUGAGGCUUUAUAUGGUAGGCGAUGCAGAUCUCCAGUAGGUUGGUUUGAGUCGGGGGAGGCUAGACUAUUGGGCACAGAUUUGGUUCAGGAUGCUUUGGAGAAGGUAAAGGUGAUUCAGGAUAGACUCCAUACAGCCCAGUCCAGACAGAAGAGUUACGCGGACUGGAAGGUUCGUGAUGUUUCCUAUAAGGUAGGAGAGUGGGGUCUGCUUCGGGUUUUGCCUAUGAAGGGUGUUAUGAGAGUUGGGAAGAAAGGGAAGUUGAGCAAGAGGUUUAUUGGCCCUUUUGAGAUAUUUAGGCGUGUUGGGGAGGUUGCUUAUGAGCAUGCCUUACCUCCCAGCUUGGUAGGAGUUCAUCUGGUAUUUCAUGUUUUGAUGCUACGGAGGUAUCAUGGUGAUUCGUCGCACGUGUUGGAUUUCAGUUCAGUCCAGUUGGACAAGGAUCUAUCUUAUGUUGAGGAGCCAGUGGCGAUAUUAGACAGGCAGGUCAGAAAGCUGAGGUCAAAGAAUAUUGCAUCAGUGAAGGUUCAGUGGCAGGGUCAGCCGGUUGAGGAGGCAACCUGGCAGACCGAGCAGGAUAUGCACAACCGCUACCCUCAUCUUUUCACUACUUCAGGUAUGUCUCUAUGCUCGUUCGAGGACGAACGAAUGUUUAAGUGUAGGAGGAUGUGACGACCCGGUUGGUCGUCUUAAGAAUUAAUGCACUGAUCCCUUAUUAACUGCUUUCCCCAAGUUUAUUUCUGCUAAUGUGAAUUGCCGGGAUAUUCGGUUUUAAAUUUUGGUGAGUUUCGGGAUACUUAGUCCCUAAAUGAGAGCUUAAGUGUUGGAAAAUUGACUGUAGUCGGAACAGUGUGAAGACGACCUCGAAAUGGAAAUUCGAUGGUUCCGUUAGCUCUGUUGGGUGAUUUCGGGGUUUGGAGCGUAUCCGAAUUGUGUUUUGGAGGUGUGUAUCCAAUUUAGGCUUGAAAUGUUGAAGGUUGAAAUUUUGAAGUUUCCGGUUCGAUAGCAAGAUUAUGAUCCGAGGGUCGGAAUGGAAUUCCGAGAGUUGUAGUAGUUUCGUUAUGUCAUUUGGGAUGUGUGUGCAAAAUUUCAGGUCAUUCGGACAUGUUUUGGUUGAGUUUUUGAUCGAAAAUGGAAUUCGAAAGAUUUUUGAAACUUAGGCUUGAAUCCGAUGUGUUUUGGCUGUUUUGAUGUUUUUUGAAGUGUUUUGAAGAUCUGAACAAGUUUGAAUAAGGUUUUAGGAUAUGCUGAUGCCCUUGGUUGAGGUCCCGAGGGCCUCGGGAUGAAUUCGGAUGGUUAACGGAGAAAAUUUUGGAGUUGAAGUUGUGUAGCAGCUGGCCUUCUGGUAUUUUCGCAUCUGCGGUCCGGAGCCGCAAAAGCGAAAUUUGGCCAUCUCUCCAGGAACUGCAGAUGCGGUAUAUUUUCCAUAGAAGCGAUACCGCACCUGUAGGUAAAGGGCCGCAGAUGCAGAAUCUGGCCUUAAGUGGGAAGUCACAGAUGCGACAUUAGUUCCGCAAAAGCGGGACCGCAGAUGCGGAAACUACUGGGCAUUAUUUUAAAAAGGGGUUCCGCGACUUGGGAGUUUAUUUCCACCAUUUCUAAUCGUUUUUGAAGCUUUUGAGAGUGAUUUUUGAGGAAAACAAAGGGGAAUCGCUUGGAGGUAACAUCCUUGACUUCAUAACUCGUUUUUAUGUGAUUAAAAGACCUAAUUAGUGGUGGAAAAUUUGGGAAAAAUGGGUAAUUAGGGCUUAAGUUUAAGAGACCUUUAAAAAAGGAUUUGAGGGGACAUUUGGACUCCGAUUUUAGUGUUCUUGUUAUGUAUAGACUCGUGAGAGUACGAGGUUUCUGAAAAUAUAAAUUUCACUCGAUUCUGAGACGUGGGCCUGAGGGGCGUUUUGGUCUUUUUACAUAAUUUUGCGUAAUAGCUUAGACUUUAAUUGUAGAAUCAGUUACUUGAGGUGUUUUUUUUAAUAUGUAAUUGAAUUGAAUAGAUUUGGGCCAUUUGGAGUCUGAUACUCAUGGCAAAAGUGUGGUUUCGNNNNNNNNNNNNNNNNNNNNNNNNNUUAGGAUAUGAUAUUUGAUAGUUGAGAUGAUGAGCGCGUACUUGAGCUAAUUGUUGAAAAUCUGGUUUUAAUUUAAGUAUUUAAAUUGAGUUCCUUUCUUACCUGUUUUUAUUCUACUUGCAAACUUAGCAUGUGUUAGUUUAGAAAAGCAUGCUUAGUUGACUUAAUUGCCUAUUUGCUUAAACUGCCUUAAUUGCGUUACGUGUAGCAUGUUAGGCUAGAAUUAACUGUUUACUUGUUACAAACUUAGUAUUUAUUUUGAUAUUCUUGAGUUGCUGCUGUGUGUUUUAAUUUGGGACUACGGGACGGCAUCCCGGGAGAUCCCUUGCACGUAUUUAUGAUCUGGACUGAGGUGCGGGAUACCAAGAGAUCCCUAGUGUACAUAUUGAGGAUACGAAGAGAUCCCUGGCAGAGAUCCUCGGGAUAUAAAGGGGAUCCCCAUUACUUUGAAACCCAACUGAUGUUGCUCUAUUUCUCCACUCUCUCUCUCUCUAACUCGCUUGUUCUCACUGGCUCGAGGCCACUUAGCAUUUAUUGCCUUCUUACUUGUUCUUUAUUUAUCGCUUUGUCUUGGCCAUAUAGAAGUUUUAUUUGAUCAUAAUCUAAUUGUUAUCCCAUUCCUGACAGUUUCCAAUACCUCGAGCUCGAUCCGGAUCGGCCCUGAGGCCCCCAUCGACCGAUCCUACGCUCGGGCAGUAAGUUCCUCGGCUCGUUCAACUCCUCGUUUUAGCAUGUAUCCCUUUGGUAAAAUAGACCCGGGCAGUAAGCCUUCAGAUUUGGUUAUCGCCCCAUUUUUAGCUUGUAUUUCAUCAUUAAACUCCACAUUCUUAGCACCAUCUGCUCUAACAACUAGCUCGAGAAUAUAUCACGUAUUUUUAGAAUCCCAAUUACAAAUUUAAUUGUUGUUAUCAUUUUCAUGGUAAACAGUUUGGCGCCCAUCGUGGGUCUAAAAAUAAUAGUGAUUAUCUUUCGCACUUUUUCUUUCCCAAGAUCUGCGAUUUUAGGACGGAGCGUCUGGCUCGACUAGUGAAAUGGGAAGCCGAAACCCCAAAGGUGACAGAAAAAAGGGCACGACUGACCUAGAGACUGGUGUCCACAUGAUUAUUGGGGGAACCAAUGUUUCCCGAGGACAAGUAUCCAAAUGAACGAGAACAUCUUCUGCAGAAGAGGGACCGGCCUAAGAACACUAACCCAAAGAAACCCUCAUAUUCAGCGAAGAGGAUCUCGAGGCUAUGAUGGAACCGGACAAUGACACGCUAGUAAUCUCGUUUCUCUCAAACAACACCAGGAUAAAGCGCGUGCUCGUGGAUCCAGGCAGCUCGGCCAACAUAAUCAGGUCAGAAGUCGUGGAACAACUGGGGCUACUCAAUCAAGUUGUUCCUACCCCUCGAGUCCUCCACGGCUUCAACAUGAUCGGAGAAGAAACGAAGGGAGAGAUCACCCUCCCAAUCAACACGUCUAGCGCAACCCAGAACACUAACUUUCAGGUCAUCAACGGCAACAUGAGAUACAACACCUUACUUGGCAGGCCUUGGAUACACAACAUAAGGGCAGUGCUCUCGACCUUGCACAAGGUGAUAAGAUUUCUCACAAGGGAUGGCAUCACGACCAUACAUGGGGAACAUCGGGCAUCGAGGGAAAUGUUCGCGGUCCACCACGACAUACCAACCUCCACAUGCCCGACCUCGGACGAGGAAGGAAGCAUGCAGACCUUUGAAGAUGAUAAGGAAGACUUCUUUGCCCCCCAAACCUUCGUCGCCCCCGAGGAAUCGGAUGGGACCAAGUUAACAGUUGAAGAGUUGGAGCAGACCGUUUUGAUCAAACACCUCUCGGAUCGCAAGGUAUACUUGGGAACGGGGCUGACUCCCAAACUCAGGACAGGUUUAUUCAAUUCCUUAGUAACAAUAUCGACUGCUUCGCCUGAUCCCACUUAGAUAUGACAGGUAUCCCACCGAAAAUAACCUCCCACAAACUAAGCGUUAACCCAAAUUCAAACCUGUAAAGCAAAAGAGAAAGCCGCAGUCCGAGGUAAAACAUGCCUUCAUCAAAGAGGAAGUAGCGAAACUUCUUAAAAUCAGAUCCACUAGGGAGGUAAAGUAUCCCAAUGGCUAGCUAACGUAGUGUUAGUGCCAAAAAAGGGGAACAAGCUAAGGAUGUGCGUAGACUAUAAAGAUUUGAACAAAGCAUGCCCCAAAGAUUCCUUCCCGUUGCAUAACAUCGAUCGCCUGAUCGAUGCUACGGCCGGCCACGAGACCCUCACUUUCCUUGAUGCCUACUCGGGGUGUAAUCAAAUCUAGAUGAACCCCAAGGAUAGGGAAAAAACCUCAGUCAUCACGAAAUACGGUACAUAUUGCUAUAACGUAAUGCCCUCGGGCUAAAAAAUGCGGGAGCAACAUACAAACGCCUAGUUAAUAAAAUGUUCGCACACCAAGUAGGUAAAUCAAUAGAGGUAUAUAUUGAUGAUAUGCUAGUCAAAUCCCUGCGCGCUAAGGACCAUCUGACCCGUUUGCAGGAAACUUUCUGUGAGCACGUGAUUUUUGCCCUACAUGAAAAUAACUCCUAAAAAUAGAGCAAAAAUAAUUUUUAUUGAUUUUAGGAAUUUUUCUUUAUUUAAAGGAGAAAAGGAAAUUAAGAAGAAUAAUUUUUGGUCUUGUUUCUUCUAAAAUUUGGUCAAUUUCUAAAAUGGCCCAAAUUAAUUUUAAACCCCAGCCCAAUUUCAAUACCAAUACCCAUUUGACCCAUUACCCCCUUUUUCUUUUUUUUACCCUAAUCCCUCACAUGCUCCCACGAGCUAAGGCAAAAAAGAGAGGAGAUUACUAGACCCUUACCCCUUAACGGCACUCCUGAUUCCCUUUCGAUCACUUCCUCCAAAGAGACCCCUCUCAAAUCAGACUCCACUCCACUUCCGAUUCUGAAAACAAUCUCGGAAAUCAAAAAAAAAAAAAGAGGAAGAGGAUAGAAAUACACGGAAACUUCAAAACAGGAACAAAGACAAUAAGAAAAAAUUUAACAAAAAAAGAGUCUCAAAAUUCAACGCUCACUGUUCAUUUCCAUUUUUGGGAGGCUUCCAAGCACGGUUUUGGCUUAAAUGUUGUUUGUUGUUGCUGGAUUAAUAUAGCUGAGCUCCAUUGGUAGUUUUCAUUGCCUCCAUUUGACUGUGUUGUUCCAGUUUUUGCCAUUUAGGUACUUUUUUCUUCCCAGAUCUGAUGUAAUCACUUUUUAUUCUAUUUUAUAUAAAAAUGGUG